rnacentral:rRNA from 1 species
UACAGAGGUCUCAAGCGUUGUUCGGAUUCAUUGGGCGUAAAGGGUGCGUAGGCGGCGCGGUAAGUCGGGUGUGAAAUCUCGGAGCUUAACUCCGAAACUGCAUUCGAUACUGCCGUGCUUGAGGACUGGAGAGGAGACUGGAAUUUACGGUGUAGCGGUGAAAUGCGUAGAUAUCGUAAGGAAGACCAGUGGCGAAGGCGGGUCUCUGGACAGUUCCUGACGCUGAGGCACGAAAGCUAGGGUAGCGAACGGG